rnacentral:rRNA from 1 species
UACGAAGGGGCUAGCGUUGUUCGGAUUUACUGGGCGUAAAGCGCGUGUAGGCGGCUGGAAAGUUGGGGUGAAAUCCCGAGGCUCAACCUCGGAACUGCCUCCAAAACUUCCAGCCUGGAGCAAGAUAGAGGCAAGUGGAAUUGCGAGUGUAGAGGUGAAAUUCGGUAGAUAUUCGCAGGAACACCAGUGGCGAAGGCGACCUUGC